GACCGUCAAGUUUCCGGGGAGACCGGAUCCAAUCGGAAACUGUCAAAAUGUCAAAUUUUGAAGAAAAAUGGGUCGUAUCAAUGCGUUCAUACAAUUUCUCGGCGAGCAAAAGACCGUAACAAUUGUUAGCGAGCCGCCGUGGGUAUUUGCAGUAAUGUGGGUUUCGAUAAUAGUUAUAUCGCACGCUGUCCUAAUGGUUUUUAUCAACAGAGCUUCACGUUUAGAACGUAUUGAAAAUGAGAGAUUUAAAUUAAAUCAGGAACUGAACAAAACUCUUAGACAAAUAUAUUAUUGCUCAGACGAGGAACUUGAUUUAUCUGAUGACUUUUCAGAUGAUUAACUAACUAUAUAUAUUUUAUAAUCAAUCUACUAUUGAUAAAUUUAUGCUUAUUUA